GGCUGGGAGGGCAGGAGCUGAAGGUUACAUCAGUGAGGCUGAGCUGCCCUCUUGGGAGCCUGGAAGGGCUCUCCUGGUUGGAAAUUGCUGGUGAAGGGCUGACAAGAAAUGCAGAGAAUAGCAGGAUGCAAGUGCAGCCCUCCCAUGGGAGCUGUGCCCUUUGCUAACAGCAGACAUGUAUGAAGUUCCCUGGCUACACAGCAGAGAGCAAUUUGAUUGCAGUUCAGCCCAAGCAUCGAGUUUGCAGAAGCAGGAACCACCUUCCCGAGUGGUGGCUCUUUGCCUGUCAUGGGCCAGGAGGGGUGACUGGUACCUGUGGCUGCCUUCCCCUCCCUGCGAGGUAGGACUGAGAGGGCAAAUGAGGCAAAGCCACCAUCUCCUGCUCACACGCUGCUCUUCCCGCUGCAGUUGAGAAAGCUUCAAUUUACCAAUUUACUCCUGUCUUUAUAUCGGACAACAGAUGUAACCCUGCAGAACUUACGGGUAUAUUUGUAGCCUGCCACAGGAAAGCUGAGUCAAAGGAACCGGCAGCAGAUGCUCUUGGUUCCUUCUGCUGCAAAAUCUUGCACAACCUGCUGCCAAAGGUAUUUAGUAGUGACAGAGUCUUUUGUGCUUGGCACCAGGAUGAGUGAGCUGCUGUGUUCUUCAGCUGACCCCUUGCAAAGUUUCAUCUAUUACCUUUAGCAGGCAGGAAAGAAAAUGUUGCACUAGAUGAAAAUGUACAUCUUUCAGGCUCUGUGUUUUUUAAUAACUUUGUGGAAUGACAGAUUACUUGGAAGAAAUAGAAUGAGGGUAUACAUAAAACUUUCUGUUAAUAUAAAGUAAAAGACAAUAUGUGUAUAGAGAUGUGCUUCCAUUACACAGUAGGUAUAUUAAAGCAGUUGUAUCCUGGCACCAGCUCAGUUUUCUGGAGGGAUAAUUUGUUGUGUGAAUGUUGGGAUCUGUUAAAUUAACUGUGACCUGGCAGAUGAAGCAUAAAUUAAGAACUCUUCU